rnacentral:tmRNA from 1 species
GGGGAUGAUCGGUUUCGACAGCGAUCUUCAGCUGAUGUGAAGCGGGCCGAGGAUGUCUACUGCACUCGUUAACCAUGUAUUCAAACCAAUAGGUGCUGAACAAAACCGCACCGACUUUGCCCUCGCAGCCUAAGCUAGCGAGCAAGUCCGUCAGCCCAGGUAAUGCUCUGAGCCUGGAUACUGGCGUCGUUUUAUGAGCCACUGGGUUGCCACCAUGUUGGGGGAUGGUGACCGACACUUACUCAACUGAGCCAUUUAGUUGCAGGUUUGCAUGUUGCUAGUGGCUGAGAAAUUUUAAAGCAAACUGCGCCCGGAGAAGCCACCAGGGUGGAUCGUUGGACCCGGGUUCAAUUCCCGGCAUCUCCACUA